GACGAACGCUGGCGGCGUGCCUAAUACAUGCAAGUCGAACGCAGUUGCGAACGGGUGAGUAACCCGUAGGUAACUGCCUGGUAGCGGGGGCUAACUAUUGGAAACAAUAGCUAAUACCGCUUACUUCUAGAUGGACCUGCGUUGUAUUACCUAGUUGGUGGGGUAACGGUUCACCAAGGCAACGAUACAUAGCCGACCGGGGAGGGGGGUCGGCCAACCUGGGACUGAGACACGGCCCAGACUCCUACGGGAGGCAGCAGUAGGGAAACUUCGGCAAAGGACGGAAGGCUGAACGAGCAAAGCCGCGUGAGGGAAGAAGGGUUUCGGAUCGUAAAGCUCUGUUGUAAGAGAAGCGGUAUCUUACCAGAAAGCCACGGCUAACUACGUGCCAGCAGCCGCGGUAAUUC
rnacentral:rRNA from 1 species